CUCGCCUGCAGCCCAAACAGUCAUCGCCCUGUCUCGGCCUAUACCCAAACCAGCUGUUACCUCUACCCAGUGAUGUGCCUUCAUCCGCAGCCAAAACGAAGUCUCAUGCAGCACCCAGGACUGUGCCCUCGUCAGCAGCCCAAACGGUCAUCGCCCUGUCUCAGCUUCUACCCAGGUCUCCCAACUGCGGUCUGCAUCUCUACUCUCAGCCCACUCACCUGCUGUUCCCACCACCUUGUUUCAUCUUCUGUUGACCAUUCAUACUGUUCCCACGGUUGUGCCCUCGUCUGCAGCCCAAACGGUCAUCGCCCUGUCUCAGCCUCCACCCAAACCAGCUGUUACUCUGCCCAGUGAUGUGCCUUCAACCGCAGCCAAAAUGAUAAUUGCAUGCAGUACCCAGUAGCCCACGACUGUGCCCUUGUCAGCAGCCCAAAUGGUCAUCGCCCUGUCUCAGCCUCUGCCCCAGCCUCUGCCCUAACCAGCUGUUGCUACCUCUGUCCAGUGAUGAUUCAUCACAUGUAGCUGAACCGACCAUUCAUGCAGUACCCACGGCUGUGCCCUCAUCUGCAGCCUAACUGCUCACCGCCCCGUCUCAGCCUCUGCCCUCGUCUGCAGCCCAA